GGGAGGUACCCAGGUGGGAGCCAUGUGUUUUGGAGCAGGAUUGCUGAUCAUGACCAAAACAGAGUUGCUCAAUUCCAGCUGAACUUUACACAAAUGGGUUCACCUACCCGCAGCCGUUGUAACAGCAGCAAACACACACCCAACAUCCUAGGGGCUAAUGCUCUGCUUCCAUGAUCUUGCCCAUCUCUGAGCCCAACAUCUCUGCAGGUAACACCAUUCUUAUCCACGCUGGUUUCACUGAUGAAGAAACUGAGGCCUGUGAGGAGAUCAGAAGUGCCCUGUGGCCACUCCAGGCUUCAGACAUGGGACCGUGGCACCAAAGCUCAGCCCAGCCACGCACAGGGCUUCUCUGCUGUAGCGAAGCCUUUGGAUUCUCCAGUGAGCAGUGUAGCUACACCUUUGGGCCGUGUUAACAGAUGUUCAGCUUUGCCACUUUGCUGUACGUGUUGCAAGGGGUCUUCUUCUAUGUGUUUGUGAACUUCUCUGGCUGUGGUGGACACGGAGGUGCCGGGCCAGGUGCCCCUUUGAGGAAGGACUUGCUGCCAGCGCCCUCAUCAGCAGCACGGAGCCGCCUCACCUGAGACCCACAUGGCCUGGGCCACACCUGCGACCGAGCCCCACCAGCCAGCCAGCCAGGACCUCUUACUGUCAGCUCUGGCCUGGGUGUCCCCCGCUGGGCCGGCCAAGGCUUUCUCUGGGCUGAAUUGUGCCUUGACUUCUCCCUUUGCCCAAGUUUUGUGCCUUAAAAACCGUCUGCACCCCUAGCUCCAUCUCAGCAAUUGCUUCCAGAGGCCCCCACCUUCGGGGAGACACUGUCUGCUAAAAUGGCUUGUGUGACAACAGAUGGUUCUCUAUCCCCACCUCCCAGCUCUACCUGCAAAUGGAAGUUAUUGGCUUGGGUUAACAUUUAUAACUAACAUUAGUGACUGAGACUACACUAGGAGCAAUAGUGGCAAAGAAAUAUGAUCGUGCAUUCAAUGGGAUGUGCUUUUGUUCACCAAGGAUAAAGAGAUUCGUUUUGUCUAAAGUGUUUGUUUGCUCCAGAAUGGGAAAGAGAGUAGUGAAAGAUACAACUUGAAUGAAAAUAGAAAAUUAUGGAAGUUUUAAAGAAAGUAAACCUUAUUUUCCUUGAUUCCAAAUAUCUGCAAAUAAUGAGUCUGAAAAAAAAAAACAAUGAAAUGUGUUACAAUUUGG
rnacentral:lncRNA from 1 species